rnacentral:rRNA from 1 species
GGUAGCACAGAGAGCUUGCUCUCGGGUGACGAGUGGCGGACGGGUGAGUAAUGUCUGGGAAACUGCCUGAUGGAGGGGGAUAACUACUGGAAACGGUAGCUAAUACCGCAUAAUGUCGCAGACCAAAGAGGGGGACCUUCGGGCCUCUUGCCAUCAAAUGUGCCCAGAUGGGAUUAGCUAGUAGGUGGGGUAACGGCUCACCUAGGCAACGAUCCCUAGCUGGUCUGAGAGGAUGACCAGCCACACUGGAACUGAGACACGGUCCAGACUCCUACGGGAGGCAGCAGUGGGGAAUAUUGCACAAUGGGCGCAAGCCUGAUGCAGCCAUGCCGCGUGUAUGAAGAAGGCCUUCGGGUUGUAAAGUACUUUCAGCGGGGAGGAAGGUGUUGUGGUUAAUAACCGCAGCAAUUGACGUUACCCGCAGAAGAAGCACCGGCUAACUCCGUGCCAGCAGCCGCGGUGAUACGGAGGGUGCAAGCGUUAAUCGGAAUUACUGGGCGUAAAGCGCACGCAGGCGGUCUGUCAAGUCGGAUGUGAAAUCCCCGGGCUCAACCUGGGAACUGCAUUCGAAACUGGCGGCUGGAGUCUUGUAGAGGGGGGUAGAAUUCCAGGUGUAGCGGUGAAAUGCGUAGAGAUCUGGAGGAAUACCGGUGGCGAAGGCGGCCCCCUGGACAAAGACUGACGCUCAGGUGCGAAAGCGUGGGGAGCAAACAGGAUUAGAUACCCUGGUAGUCCACGCCGUAAACGAUGUCGAUUUGGAGGUUGUGCCCUUGAGGCGUGGCUUCCGGAGCUAACGCGUUAAAUCGACCGCCUGGGGAGUACGGCCGCAAGGUUAAAACUCAAAUGAAUUGACGGGGGCCCGCACAAGCGGUGGAGCAUGUGGUUUAAUUCGAUGCAACGCGAAGAACCUUACCUGGUCUUGACAUCCACAGAACUUUCCAGAGAUGGAUUGGUGCCUUCGGGAACUGUGAGAC